GAUGAACGCUGGCGGCGUGCCUAAUACAUGCAAGUCGAGCGAAUGGAUUAAGAGCUUGCUCUUAUGAAGUUAGCGGCGGACGGGUGAGUAACACGUGGGUAACCUGCCCAUAAGACUGGGAUAACUCCGGGAAACCGGGGCUAAUACCGGAUAAUAUUUUGAACUGCAUGGUUCAAAAUUGAAAGGCGGCUUCGGCUGUCACUUAUGGAUGGACCCGCGUGGCAUUAGCUAGUUGGUGAGGUAACGGCUCACCAAGGCAACGAUGCGUAGCCGACCUGAGAGGGUGAUCGGCCACACUGGGACUGAGACACGGCCCAGACUCCUACGGGAGGCAGCAGUAGGGAAUCUUCCGCAAUGGACGAAAGUCUGACGGAGCAACGCCGCGUGAGUGAUGAAGGCUUUCGGGUCGUAAAACUCUGUUGUUAGGGAAGAACGAGUGCUAGUUGAAUAAGCUGGCACCUUGACGGUACCUAACCAGAAAGCCACGGCUAACUACGUGCCAGCCGCCGCCGUAA
rnacentral:rRNA from 1 species